AAAAAAGAGCUAAGAUACAAAAAUUAUUAUCAAAUAUUUAUUAUUCAUAAUCAUUAAUUGUCAUAUAUACGUUAAUCAUAUUAAGUAAUUUUGUAGUUUUUAUUUAAGAAAAGUGCGAGAAUAUUCUUUUGUACACUAUUUAUCAAUUUAAUAGUUAGUUUAAUAAAAAAUAUAAUAUAAGGUAAGAUGGACCAUCAUAUUUCUCUAAUAUGGUUAAUGUGAUUAAUAUGAUUAAUGUGGUCGUUUAAUAUAUGUUAAUAAUAUAAAAUUUAACAAAAAAGAGCUCAGAUACAAAAAUUAUUCUCAAAUAUUUAUUAUUCAUAUCAUUAAUUGUCAUAUAUAUGUUAACUAUAUUAGACAAUUCUGUAGCUUUUAUUUAAGGAAAGCUUUUAUUUAAGGAAGUUCGAGAAUAUUUUUUUGUACACUAUUUAUCAAUUUAAUAGUUAGUUUAAUAAAAAGUAUAAUAUAAGUUAAGAUGAACCAACCCAUUUAUCUAAGAAUUCUGAAUGUCAUUCUCAUGGUGACACAUGACUACAAAACAAUGUCGUAAUUUUUCUCAAUUAAUAUAUAAGAGAUUAUAAAGGAACUUUACAAUUUUCAGCCAAUUAUCAUACAAGCAGCUGAUUAUAAUUAUCCACAAGUACGAUAUAGUUCACUUUUUUUUUGGUAAAGAGAGGUCUUCUAAGCAUAAUAUAUAUAUAUAUAUAUAUAUAUAUAUAUAAAUAUAAAUCAUUAGGGCCAGGCACCUUCAUAUCUUGAAUAUAUAUUUAACACCAUGAGCUUAAAGUUGAGUCAUGAAUGCAUACUUGUGGUUUCCGGGUUGUUCUUUAAAUUUCCCACUAAAUUGGAGUGUAGUGGUAGGUGUGCAUGGUACUUUCUUCUUCAACCACUUACAUUUUUCCAACAUCUAUAGAUUCAUCUUCAUCCAAUAAUACUUUCUUCUUCAACCACUUACAUUUUUCCAACAUCUAUACAUUCAUCUUCAUCCAAUAAUACGCUUCCCAGAAUACUAAAUGGAUUUCACACAUAUUCUCAACUAAAACUAAAAAAUGUUAUCUUAUUGUGUGAAAUCGCUAAAACCCAUAUCACUCUAGGCAUGUAUAUGAAGCGCGAAAAAACACUAGUAAGUUUAAAUCAAUUAAAAAUAGAAGGUAAUCUCUAACCGCACUUGCGAUAAGUCCAAUAAGCAAUUCAACUUUGCCCGUUAGUUGUUUAAAUCAAUUAAAAAUAGAGGUAAUCUCUAACCGCACUUGCGAUAAGUCCAAUAAGCAAUUCAACUUUGCCCGUUAGUUGCGGCUUUUUGGUAUAGCGAUAUCAACGAAAUUAUCACUUGAUCAGCUGGGGGAAAAAACUGAGCGACGCCAUAAGGGCUGCUACACCAUUCAACGCUCCAUAUGGUCUAACUUAAGAAAACAAUAUGAAACAAAGUCACUUUCGUUGCCUCAUCUCAUUUCAAAUCCUCCAAUAGUUGUAAGCGAGGUCAAAGGUAUAGUAGUCUCUUUCUUGUUUUCUGGUUACAAUCGUUUGAGGUUUUAUUUAUAAUACUUACGAUUCAGAUAGGAACUCUUAAUUAAGCCUAUUCCAACAUUGUUGGUUAUGUCCGGGUAAAUAAAAAAAAUUAAAAUCCCCCAAAAAUUUCUUUUUGUAGUUUUGUAAACUAUUGGUAUAAUAAAUGUUUUUUUGCCGACCAACAAAAAUUAAUCAAGAAAUUAAAAUGUGGUGUUGGUAUUUCUCACAGCAUGGAAACUUGUUUGGUGUACAUGGGACACUAAACAUGGGCCUAAUUUAUUUAGUUUGUCUUUCAUUUGAAUGGAAAAUAUUAAAAGACUUGGGAUGUGAACACAUUUCAGGUUCGAUCUACCUGUGAUAUCAUUCAAAUUAUCCUAAUAAGUGAUUUGUACUCUUUCAAAUAUGAGGUAGAGUUAUAGCAUUUAAGGAUCAAAUUCACAAGGAGCUAGAACACACUAGAUCUAAAUAGUUAUUGAUUAAGCUAGGCUAAUAGAUUAUAAAGCAGUAAAUACCAGAACAUAGUGAACAAGGUAGUUGUUUAGUAAAUUGAUGAGUUGUUUGAUGGAAGGAUGGUUCAUUAGACUUAGGGUUUCUAUUCAAGCAAUCAUGAUUAUAAUGGUAUAGAUGCUAAGGUAGGAUAUUCUAAAACUCAAACUAAGUAAAAGUUUAUCAACUUCCGAUUGUUUAUAUUAUCUAUUUUCUAGAUCUAAGACCUCAGUUGUCGCUUGUUGGUCUUGAGAAAGUGUUGAUCGAUACCAAUUAUGGAUUAUCGAUCGAUACACCUUUCAGUUUGUCGGUCGAUACAACUACUGAGUUUUCAAUCGACGUUCCUUCUAGCAAGCUUUACCGCACGAGUUUGACUUGUUCAUUAGGUCAAUCCUAGCACAAUGUAAACUAGAUCAGACAAAGGACCAUGCUUCCGCUUGCGCCCAAUUAUCUAUAGACAAAGUCCUAGUUAGCUACUUUAGAACACAUACAUUGAAGAACAGUUCAAUUGAUUGAUAUCCUAACAACUUAGCAGUUCUAUUUUUUCGGGCUAAUCCCUCGUGACUAUCUAAACCCUAAAUCUAACAAGGUGAAUCUAUUCAAACAUGAUAGUUGUCAUAGAAAAUCAUAGAUGAAUAGAUGAAACUACAAUAGAUAUAAAAACCAAAGGAGUUCCAGGAGGUACACUUCCGCUUAAGUAUAUUCAAUCAAAGAAUCAUAUGGUUAAAGGAUUCAUUUUUGAUGAAUCAUAAAAGAAUUAAUUUAACAAUAUCUACUUUAAUACUUAAACUAAUCAACAAUUUCAAAAAGGUCUAGUUUUUUUUUUAAGUAAUACUCUUAAAUCUGUAUAUUCUAAUAUAUUAUUUAGGAUCUUAUUUUUAAUUUAUUGUUAAAAGAUUAUCAUAAGUUUUGGACUCUUUCAGACAUAUUACAAUAAUAUUUCACGUUCAUAAGGCAGGUAGUAUUGUCGGUUGUCGAAUCGUCUAUAUAAUCUUUCUUAUAUCAUAAUUGUAAUAUCAUAAUAAAUCAGCGUUAAAAAAAAAAAAUCAAAUGCACCGAACUACUUAAACUAAACAAACGUCGUCACGUACAACUAAAACAACGUUGGUUAUAUAUCUACGAAUAGAAGAACAAUAGAAAAUUAAAUUAUUUUUAUACUAAUCAAAGACACGGCUCUGUUUAUAGUAUGUCUUCAAAUAAUAAUGGACAAAUAAUAAUGUGUUUAUUUGACGGGCUUAAUCUAUCAAAUAGUAACGAAAGACAAAUGUUUUUCAUUACAUUUUUCUUCAUCUAUUACUCAUUCACAUAGAGUGAAUUAGCCCAAUAUCAUAUAAGAAGUAGCAAAUUAGGCAAAUGCCUAUGACACAAAAGUUGUGGGGAUCCAACAUAGAGAAAAUGUCAAAACUGACCUUAUGUCUAUAAAAAAGAGAUCACGACAAAACCGGUGAUAAUAGGUCAUAAGCUAAAUGAAAUAAAAAGUAAUUAGCGAAAAGCAAUAGAUCUCUCUCUCUUUCUUCCCUCUAUUAUUUUUGAGAGAGAGGGAAUUGCGUUAUUUCCCAUGCUUGAUCAAUCUGGUGAGGUUUUCAACCCGUAUAUCAGCUAUUGUGGAAGCCAAAUUCUCUCUGUCGCGUUUUCCUGUCUCCGGUAUGUUUUCGGUGGAAUACCGAUUAGACCGUCCGGCAACGGCUUACCUUUGGGUGUAGCGUCAACUCUCAACUGCUAACGGGGUUUGUCUAUAAAAGGAAGCCAACAAGCAAACUCUCACCAUAAAAAGCUGUCUAGUUAACAAAACCAAUACCACUCCUCCGUUUCUGUGUAUUGAUUGUAGACUUUGUAGUUACAGAAUCUUGUUUCGUGAUAUUUUAUUAAUACUAGUUACAGAAGCUGUCUAGUUAACUAAAAUAUUAGUUUGCUCCAUUGUCAUUGUGGCCAAUUAUUUAAGUUAACGUCUU